rnacentral:rRNA from 1 species
AUACGGAGGGGGUUAGCGUUGUUCGGAAUUACUGGGCGUAAAGCGUACGUAGGCGGACUGGAAAGUUGGGGGUGAAAUCCCGGGGCUCAACCCCGGAACUGCCUCCAAAACUUCCAAUCUAGAGAUCGAGAGAGGUGAGUGGAAUUCCAAGUGUAGAGGUGAAAUUCGUAGAUAUUUGGAGGAACACCAGUGGCGAAGGCGGCUCACUGGCUCGAUACUGACGCUGAGGUACGAAAGCGUGGGUAGCAAACAGGAUUAGAUACCCUAGUAGUCC